rnacentral:rRNA from 1 species
GACGGGGCCCGCACAAGCGGUGGAGCAUGUGGUUUAAUUCGAUGCAACGCGAAGAACCUUUACCAGGUCUUGACAUCCCGAUGCUAUUUCUAGAGAUAGAAAGUUACUUCGGUACAUCGGUGACAGGUGGUGCAUGGUUGUCGUCAGCUCGUGUCGUGAGAUGUUGGGUUAAGUCCCGCAACGAGCGCAACCCCUAUUGUUAGUUGCCAUCAUUCAGUUGGGCACUCUAGCGAGACUGCCGGUAAUAAACCGGAGGAAGGUGGGAUGACGUCAAAUCAUCAUGCCCCUUAUGACCUGGGCUACACACGUGCUACAAUGGUUGGUACAACGAGUUGCGAGUCGGUGACGGCGAGCUAAUCUCUUAAAGCCAAUCUCAGUUCGGAUUGUAGGCUGCAACUCGCCUACAUGAAGUCGGAAUCGCUAGUAAUCGCGGAUCAGCACGCCGCGGUGAAUACGUUCCCGGGCCUU